rnacentral:rRNA from 1 species
AAACCAACAGGGAUUGCCUCAGUAACGGCGAGUGAAGCGGCAAAAGCUCAAAUUUGAAACCCUCGGGAUUGUAAUUUGAAGAUUUGGCAUUGGAGAAAGCUAACCCAAGUUACUUGGAAUAGUACGUCAUAGAGGGUGACAACCCCGUCUGGCUAACCGUUCUCCAUGUAUUGCCUUAUCAAAGAGUCGAGUUGUUUGGGAAUGCAGCUCAAAGUGGGUGGUAAACUCCAUCUAAAGCUAAAUACUGGUGAGAGACCGAUAGCGAACAAGUACUGUGAAGGAAAGGUGAAAAGAACUUUGAAAAGAGAGUGAAAUAGUAUGUGAAAUUGUUGAUAGGGAAGGAAAUGAGUGGAGAGUGGUUUAGGUUUCAGUUGUCCUUCGGGAUGAUGUACUGCCAACGCCGAGUCAUUGUCAGCGAGACAGGGGUUAUAAACGGGUUACACUUGUGUUUUUCACCUAAUCCCUCCACUGCCGACAACGACAUAAUCCACCCAUUUCAC